UCAAGUGAAUAAGUGCAUCAGGCGGAUGCCUUGGCGAUGAUAGGCGACGAAGGACGUGUAAGCCUGCGAAAAGCGCGGGGGAGCUGGCAAUAAAGCUAUGAUUCCGCGAUGUCCGAAUGGGGAAACCCACUGCAUUCUGUGCAGUAUCCUAAGUUGAAUACAUAGGCUUAGAGAAGCGAACCCGGAGAACUGAACCAUCUAAGUACCCGGAGGAAAGAAAUCAACCGAGAUUCCGCAAGUAGUGGCGAGCGAACGCGGAGGAGCCUGUACGUAAUAACUGUCGAGAUAGAAGAACAAGCUGGGAAGCUUGACCAUAGCGGGUGACAGUCCCGUAUUCGAAAUCUCAACAGCGGUACUAAGCGUACGAAAAGUAGGGCGGGACACGUGAAAUCCUGUCUGAAUAUGGGGGACCAUCCUCCAAGGCUAAAUACUCAUCAUCGACCGAUAGUGAACCAGUACCGUGAGGGAAAGGCGAAAAGAACCCGGGAGGGGAGUGAAACAGAACCUGAAACCUGAUGCAUACAAACAGUGGGAGCGCCCUAGUGGUGUGACUGCGUACCUUUUGUAUAAUGGGUCAACGACUUACAUUCAGUAGCGAGCUUAACCGGAUAGGGGAGGCGUAGGGAAACCGAGUCUUAAUAGGGCGAUGAGUUGCUGGGUGUAGACCCGAAACCGAGUGAUCUAUCCAUGGCCAGGUUGAAGGUGCCGUAACAGGUACUGGAGGACCGAACCCACGCAUGUUGCAAAAUGCGGGGAUGAGCUGUGGGUAGGGGUGAAAGGCUAAACAAACUCGGAGAUAGCUGGUUCUCCCCGAAAACUAUUUAGGUAGUGCCUCGAGCAAGACACUGAUGGGGUAAAGCACUGUUAUGGCUAGGGGGUUAUUGCAACUUACCAACCCAUGGCAAACUCAGAAUACCAUCAAGUGGUUCCUCGGGAGACAGACAGCGGGUGCUAACGUCCGUUGUCAAGAGGGAAACAACCCAGACCGCCGGCUAAGGUCCCAAAUGAUAGAUUAAGUGGUAAACGAAGUGGGAAGGCACAGACAGCCAGGAUGUUGGCUUAGAAGCAGCCAUCAUUUAAAGAAAGCGUAAUAGCUCACUGGUCGAGUCGUCCUGCGCGGAAGAUGUAACGGGGCUCAAAUCUAUAACCGAAGCUGCGGAUGCCGGUUUACCGGCAUGGUAGGGGAGCGUUCUGUAGGCUGAUGAAGGUGCAUUGUAAAGUGUGCUGGAGGUAUCAGAAGUGCGAAUGUUGACAUGAGUAGCGAUAAAGCGGGUGAAAAGCCCGCUCGCCGAAAGCCCAAGGUUUCCUACGCAACGUUCAUCGGCGUAGGGUAAGUCGGCCCUAAGGCGAGGCAGAAAUGCGUAGUCGAUGGGAAACAGGUUAAUAUUCCUGUACUUGAUUCAAAUGCGAUGUGGGACGGAGAAGGUUAGGUUGGCAAGCUGUUGGAAUAGCUUGUUUAAGCCGGUAGGUGGAAGACUUAGGCAAAUCCGGGUUUCUUAACACCGAGAAGUGAUGACGAGUGUCUACGGACACGAAGCAACCGAUACCACGCUUCCAGGAAAAGCCACUAAGCUUCAGUUUGAAUCGAACCGUACCGCAAACCGACACAGGUGGGUAGGAUGAGAAUUCUAAGGCGCUUGAGAGAACUCGGGAGAAGGAACUCGGCAAAUUGAUACCGUAACUUCGGGAGAAGGUAUGCCCUCUAAGGUUAAGGACUUGCUCCGUAAGCCCCGGAGGGUCGCAGAGAAUAGGUGGCUGCGACUGUUUAUUAAAACACAGCACUCUGCCAACACGAAAGUGGACGUAUAGGGUGUGACGCCUGCCCGGUGCCGGAAGGUUAAUUGAAGAUGUGCAAGCAUCGGAUCGAAGCCCCGGUAAACGGCGGCCGUAACUAUAACGGUCCUAAGGUAGCGAAAUUCCUUGUCGGGUAAGUUCCGACCCGCACGAAUGGCGUAACGAUGGCCACACUGUCUCCUCCCGAGACUCAGCGAAGUUGAAGUGGUUGUGAAGAUGCAAUCUACCCGCUGCUAGACGGAAAGACCCCGUGAACCUUUACUGUAGCUUUGCAUUGGACUUUGAAGUCACUUGUGUAGGAUAGGUGGGAGGCUUGGAAGCAGAGACGCCAGUCUCUGUGGAGUCGUCCUUGAAAUACCACCCUGGUGUCUUUGAGGUUCUAACCCAGACCCGUCAUCCGGGUCGGGGACCGUGCAUGGUAGGCAGUUUGACUGGGGCGGUCUCCUCCCAAAGCGUAACGGAGGAGUUCGAAGGUUACCUAGGUCCGGUCGGAAAUCGGACUGAUAGUGCAAUGGCAAAAGGUAGCUUAACUGCGAGACCGACAAGUCGGGCAGGUGCGAAAGCAGGACAUAGUGAUCCGGUGGUUCUGUAUGGAAGGGCCAUCGCUCAACGGAUAAAAGGUACUCCGGGGAUAACAGGCUGAUUCCGCCCAAGAGUUCAUAUCGACGGCGGAGUUUGGCACCUCGAUGUCGGCUCAUCACAUCCUGGGGCUGUAGUCGGUCCCAAGGGUAUGGCUGUUCGCCAUUUAAAGUGGUACGUGAGCUGGGUUUAAAACGUCGUGAGACAGUUUGGUCCCUAUCUGCAGUGGGCGUUGGAAGUUUGACGGGGGCUGCUCCUAGUACGAGAGGACCGGAGUGGACGAACCUCUGGUGUACCGGUUGUAACGCCAGUUGCAUAGCCGGGUAGCUAAGUUCGGAAGAGAUAAGCGCUGAAAGCAUCUAAGCGCGAAACUCGCCUGAAGAUGAGACUUCCCUUGCGGUUUAACCGCACUAAAGGGUCGUUCGAGACCAGGACGUUGAUAGGUGGGGUGUGGAAGCGCGGUAACGCGUGAAGCUAACCCAUACUAAUUGCCCGUGAGGCUUGACUCU
rnacentral:rRNA from 1 species